CCUGAGAAACCCAAAAGAUCGAAUGGGAAGAUUCAUCGUCAGCUCAUUUUGUAUAUAUAUAAGUUAUGAUGCGGGUUACUACUUGUAGUAUUGCCUGUACAUUCUUGUAUAUUUAAUUGCAGGAUGUUGUCGGCGUGCACUUCUUCCCUAGUAGGACGUCGCGACCUGUUGAGUGUCGGUUUACGGCUCAAGUUAUAGCCUUUAAUGUAAUUUAAAAUGCAUUGAAGAUACUUGAUGUUUUCUAACCGGCUACUUGGCAGUAUUCGUACGGUAUUUAGCCGCUAAAUUUAUUAAGCGUUCAUAUCUAUCACAAGCGAGGCUAAUUUACUGAUAGUACGGACCUAGUGCCGUCGUUGGUAUUGGCCAGCUGUUGGUUGAUAGUAUUCUAGAACUGGCUAAAAUUAAUUACCGGUCGGCGAUGCUACUGCUUUGGGUACUUUCAGG
rnacentral:rRNA from 1 species